CGAAAUUUUGAACACCUCGCGUUAAAAAAAAUAUACCGGGGUACCAAAUACCGGAAACAGAUAUCGGCUGGUGAUUUAGGCGGUUAAACGAAAAAUGGAUAGAUAUAAGGAAGAACACUGGAGAAGGGACUUCUAUCUCACAUGAACACGAAAGAAGAAUCGUUUGAAUUAGAAACCGGUAGCCAAUAAGCCCACGAAGGUCAUUUCUGCAUGCUAUAAAGUGUUGGAAAAAAGAAAGAUGUCAUAAAGGAUAUAUAGGCUCAUAGACAUAACUUGUUGUGGAGAAUUUUGAUAUUGGAAGUUGAUGAUAACACAUAAAAUUCCACCCAGUUGAUAGCUUUAAGUGAAGAUGCACUGAAAAGUUGAGCGUACAUUGUGUGUGAUCGUACAAGAACUGUUGGAAUUUGCAAACUUUUAAACUUUCAUUGUGACAAAUAUCUAUAUCAUAAACU